rnacentral:rRNA from 1 species
UCCGAAAGGAUUGCUAAUACCGCAUUCGUCAGCGAGCUCUACGGAGCAUGCUGGGAAAGGUGGCCUCUUCAUGAAAGCUACCACCGAAGGAUGAGUCCGCGUCCCAUCAGCUAGUUGGCGGUGUAAUAGACCACCAAGGCUAAGACGGGUAGCUGGUCUGAGAGGAUGAUCAGCCACACUGGGACUGAGACACGGCCCAG